AUUGAACGCUAGCGGGAUGCUUAACACAUGCAAGUCGAACGGAGUGGCGGACGGGUGAGUAAUAUAUCGGAAAGUGCCCAAUAGAGGGGGAUAACUACUCGAAAGAGUGGCUAAUACCGCAUACUAUCAGAUCGGCCUAUAUGCGAUUAGCUAGUGGGUGGGGUAACGGCUCACCAAGGCAACGAUCCGUAGCUGGUUUGAGAGGACGAACAGCCACACUGGGACUGAGACACGGCCCAGACUCCUACGGGAGGCAGCAGUGGGGAAUUUUGCACAAUGGGCGAAACCCUGAUGCAGCCAUCCCGCGUGUAUGAAGAAGGCCUUCGGGUUGUAAAGUACUUUUGGCAGAGAAGCGGUAUCUGCAGAAUAAGCAACGGCUAACUACGUGCCAGCAGCCGCGGUAAUAC
rnacentral:rRNA from 1 species